rnacentral:rRNA from 1 species
GGAAUAUUGGUCAAUGGGCGAGAGCCUGAACCAGCCAAGUAGCGUGCAGGAUGACGGCCCUAUGGGUUGUAAACUGCUUUUAUAUAGGGAUAAAGUGCGCCACGUGUGGCGUUUUGUAGGUACUGUAUGAAUAAGGACCGGCUAAUUCCGUGCCAGCAGCCGCGGUAAUACGGAAGGUCCGGGCGUUAUCCGGAUUUAUUGGGUUUAAAGGGAGCGCAGGCCGAUGGUUAAGCGUGACGUGAAAUGUAGCCGCUCAACGGCUGAUCUGCGUCGCGAACUGGCUGUCUUGAGUGAGUUCGAUGUGGGCGGAAUUCGUGGUGUAGCGGUGAAAUGCUUAGAUAUCACGAAGAACUCCGAUGGCGAAGGCAGCCCACAAGGCCUUUACUGACGCUAAAGCUCGAAGGUGCGGGUAUCGAACA